rnacentral:rRNA from 1 species
GAUCCUGAGUACGGCGGAACACGUGAAAUUCCGUCGGAAUCCGGGAGGACCAUCUCCCAAGGCUAAAUACUCCCUAGUGACCGAUAGUGAACCAGUACCGUGAGGGAAAGGUGAAAAGCACCCCGGAAGGGGAGUGAAACAGUUCCUGAAACCGUGUGCCUACAAGUAGUUAGAGCCCGUUAAUGGGUGAUAGCGUGCCUUUUGUAGAAUGAACCGGCGAGUUACGAUUUGUUGCAAGGUUAAGCGGAAAAAGCGGAGCCGUAGCGAAAGCGAGUCUGAAUAGGGCGCAUAAGUAACAGGUCGUAGACCCGAAACCAGGUGAUCUACCCAUGUCCAGGAUGAAGGUAAGGUAAUACUUACUGGAGGUCCGAACCCACGCACGUUGAAAAGUGCGGGGAUGAGGUGUGGGUAGCGGAGAAAUUCCAAUCGAACUUGGAGAUAGCUGGUUCUCUCCGAAAUAGCUUUAGGGCUAGCCUCGAGGUAAAGAGUCAUGGAGGUAGAGCACUGUUUGGACUAGGGGCCCUUCUCGGGUUACCGAAUUCAGAUAAACUCCGAAUGCCAUGUACUUAUACUCGGGAGUCAGACUGCGAGUGAUAAGAUCCGUAGUCGAAAGGGAAACAGCCCAGACCACCAGUUAAGGUCCCCAAAUAUAUGUUAAGUGGAAAAGGAUGUGGGGUUGCUUAGACAACCAGGAUGUUGGCUUAGAAGCAGCCACCAUUGAAAGAGUGCGUAAUAGCUCACUGGUCGAGUGACCCCGCGCCGAAAAUGUACCGGGGCUAAACAUAUUACCGAAACUGUGGAUGAACCUCUUUAGAGGUUCGUGGUAGGAGAGCGUUCUAAGGGCGGUGAAGUCAGACCGGAAGGACUGGUGGAGCGCUUAGAAGUGAGAAUGCCGGUAUGAGUAGCGAAAGAAGGGUGAGAAUCCCUUCCACCGAAUAUCUAAGGUUUCCUGAGGAAGGCUCGUCCGCUCAGGGUUAGUCGGGACCUAAGCCGAGGCCGAUAGGCGUAGGCGAUGGACAACAGGUAGAGAUUCCUGUACCAGUGCUAAUUGUUUAACCGAUGGGGUGACACAGAAGGAUAGGGAAUCGCACGAAUGGAAAUGUGCGUCCAAGCAGUGAGUGUGAGAAGUAGGCAAAUCCGCUUCUCGCGAAGCAUGAGCUGUGAUGGGGAAGGAAAUUAAGUACGGAAGUUCCUGAUUUCACGCUGUCAAGAAAAGCCUCUAGGAAGAGUAGUACUGCCCGUACCGCAAACCGACACAGGUAGAUGAGGAGAGAAUCCUAAGGUGAGCGAGAGAACUCUCGUUAAGGAACUCGGCAAAAUGACCCCGUAACUUCGGGAGAAGGGGUGCUCUAUUAGGGUGCAAGCCCGAGAGAGCCGCAGUGAAUAGGCCCAGGCGACUGUUUAGCAAAAACACAGGUCUCUGCAAAACCGUAAGGUGACGUAUAGGGGCUGACGCCUGCCCGGUGCUGGAAGGUUAAGAGGAGUGCUUAGCUUCGGCGAAGGUACGAAUUGAAGCCCCAGUAAACGGCGGCCGUAACUAUAACGGUCCUAAGGUAGCGAAAUUCCUUGUCGGGUAAGUUCCGACCCGCACGAAAGGCGCAACGAUCUGGGCACUGUCUCAACGAGAGACUCGGUGAAAUUAUAGUACCUGUGAAGAUGCAGGUUACCCGCGACAGGACGGAAAGACCCCGUGGAGCUUUACUGCAACCUGAUAUGGAAUGUUUGUACCGCUUGUACAGGAUAGGUAGGAGCCGAAGAGACGUGUGCGCUAGCAUACGAGGAGGCAAUGGUGGGAUACUACCCUGGCUGUAUGACCAUUCUAACCCGCCACGCUUAGCGCGUGGGGAGACAGUGUCAGGUGGGCAGUUUGACUGGGGCGGUCGCCUCCUAAAGAGUAACGGAGGCGCCCAAAGGUUCCCUCAGAAUGGAUGGAAAUCAUUCGCAGAGUGUAAAGGCACAAGGGAGCUUGACUGCGAGACUGACAAGUCGAGCAGGGACGAAAGUCGGGCUUAGUGAUCCGGUGGUUCCGCAUGGAAGGGCCAUCGCUCAACGGAUAAAAGCUACCCCGGGGAUAACAGGCUUAUCUCCCCCAAGAGUCCACAUCGACGGGGAGGUUUGGCACCUCGAUGUCGGCUCGUCGCAUCCUGGGGCUGUAGUCGGUCCCAAGGGUUGGGCUGUUCGCCCAUUAAAGCGGCACGCGAGCUGGGUUCAGAACGUCGUGAGACAGUUCGGUCCCUAUCCGUCGCGGGCGCAGGAAAUUUGAGAGGAGCUGUCCUUAGUACGAGAGGACCGGGAUGGACACACCGCUGGUGUACCAGUUGUUCCGCCAGGAGCAUCGCUGGGUAGCUAUGUGUGGCAGGGAUAAACGCUGAAAGCAUCUAAGCGUGAAGCCCCCCUCAAGAUGAGAUUUCCCAUUUCUUCGGAAAGUAAGAUCCCUGAAAGAUGAUCAGGUAGAUAGGUUUGGAGUGGAAGUGUAGCGAUACAUGGAGCGGACAAAUACUAAUCGAUCGAGGACUUAACCAA